UACAGAGGUCUCAAGCGUUGUUCGGAAUCACUGGGCGUAAAGGGUGCGUAGACCGUGGGGAAAGUUUGCCGUGAAAUCUUCAGGCUCAACCUGAAAACUGCGGUGAAAACUGCCCUGCUAGAGGUAUGGAGGGGGAACUGGAAUUCUAGGUGUAGCAGUGAAAUGCGUAGAUAUCUAGAAGAACACCAGCGGCGAAAGCGAGUUCCUGGACAUUACCUGACGUUGAGGCACGAAAGCUAGGGGAGCAAACGGG
rnacentral:rRNA from 2 species